rnacentral:rRNA from 1 species
AACGCGAAGAACCUUACCAGGUCUUGACAUCCCGAUGACCGUUCCAGAGAUGGGACUUCUCUUCGGAGCAUUGGAGACAGGUGGUGCAUGGUUGUCGUCAGCUCGUGUCGUGAGAUGUUGGGUUAAGUCCCGCAACGAGCGCAACCCUUGAUCUUAGUUGCCAGCACUUCGGGUGGGCCCUCUAAGAUGACUGCCGGUGACAAACCGGAGGAAGGUGGGGAUGACGUCAAAUCAUCAUGCCCCUUAUGACCUGGGCUACACACGUACUACAAUGGUCGGUACAACGGGCAACGAAGGAGCGAUCUGGAGCAAAUCCUUAAAAGCCGAUCUCAGUUCGGAUUGCAGGCUGCAACUCGCCUGCAUGAAGUCGGAAUUGCUAGUAAUCGCGGAUCAGCAUGCCGCGGUGAAUACGUUCCCGGGUCUUGUACACACCG